rfam:Beta vulgaris subsp. vulgaris chromosome 9, whole genome shotgun sequence.
GUGCUCUUAGUUCAGUUUGGUAGAAUGUGGGUUCCAAAACCCAAUGUCGUAGGCUCAAAUCCUACCGAACAUA